GAGUUGGGGGGGGGUGACUUUGCGACAGGGGGCGGCGGCGGCGGCGGUGGCGGUUCCGGCGCUGUGACCGAGCGGAGUUUGGGCCUCGCGGUCCUCCGGGAGCGGGUAAUUUAGAAGAGAAAUAUCCAGUGGUGCUUCAGUUUCUCUUACUGGAUGAAAGUGACUUGGAAGCUGAUUUGCAGUGAAUAAUCAGAGAAGCCACACAGCAUUUUCUGGAAUAUUGCAUGAUUUCAUAAUGAAGAUCUCUCUCCUGCAGCAGAUGUAUAAGGACGUCCUGGCAGGCAUUCCCCUAGCAAGGGAAAACCAUUAUUAUUCCUCUUUAAUUAAUCUGUGUGUGGAGCAGCCACCAGGAGGAGAUGAAUCCUGUCAUCAGCAGCAUCUGCCAUCUACUACUGGUGGCGUUGGGAGGCAUCAGGGCACUGAUUUGUCAGGUGUUGUCCCUGCAACAGAUGAUUUAUCCAACAGCUUUGCCAACAUGAGCUCCUCGUUCUGCCCACGGGAGGUGAUGCUGCUCCAGCUCACCUUGAUCAAACUGAUGCUGGCCAAAGCAGAGUCCCAGGAAACUGAACUCCACACGAGAUGGAAGUACUGUGAAAUCUUCAUUCUUCUUCUGAAGGAGGAAAAAAUUGACUCAAAAUUGAUUCACCUGCUCGGUUCUGAUGAUCGGCUGUUAUCUCACAUGGCCUCACGAAGUUUAGCAUCUCUUGUGUAUUUCCAGCUGAAGAAAGAGGACGCCGUGAAUGUGGCGUGGCUGAGCUGUAGCGUGGACGCGCUGCUGGGAUUCCCCGGGGACGCGCGGGUGGCCGCUUGCCUGCGGACCCUGGCAGCGAUCCUGCGGGAGACGCUGCGGGACGCGCCCGCAGCCCGAGCAGGUGUUCUGAAGAAGUUGUUGGCUCCUCUCGAUGCAGUGCUUGAGGGAUUUUAUAAUGCCAUCCUGCUCCAUCAUUUUGACAGUCAACACUACACUUCACCUUAUUCUGAAGCUUCAAACAAUCUGAUCAGUUUUAUAGAUCUGCUAGAAGCACUUUUGGCUUCCAGAAUUGAACUGGAAUUACCGCUCAGGUGCCAGAGAAUUUUAUUUAUGAAAGUUUCUUAUGUCCUCAAUGUUAUUAGCUCAUCAAUUCCUUAUGUAAUCAAGAAGAAAUUCAUUUUGCUCCUUAAAAAAUGUGUCCUUUACAAGUCCAGAGAAGAUUUAAAAGGUGGAUCCCCGUUCUUACAAUCCCCAUCUUUGUGUGAGGAUAUGCUUGCACUGAGUAAUGUUGUUCUGCAGGUUGUGAAUUUGACUUGGCUUAAUCAGAUCCCACUCACUGGAAAGUCCAGCUACUUUGGAAGCAGUGAAGCUGCUCCUGGACAUGAUUCUCAAGUUGGUUCUGACCAAACUGUUCUCAGAGCCUUAAGUCUGGUUGUGCUUAAAGCACUGGAAUUCAAGAUUCACAACUCUGCAACAGAAGCAGAAAUCAAAGGAGACUUUGAGAGUUCCAUGUCCCAGCUGCUGAUGUUCUGCAAGAAUCAUGUAAAGCCUUCCUCACAGUCUCACCCAGUUGUGCAUCAUUGUGAAUGGCUCUCCUUGGUUUUCAUAGAGCAAGAUGAUGACAUGUGGGAAGCUGCUAAAGCUUUAUUACUCAUCUAUUUAAAAUUUGAUAGGUUACGGUGUGAUGCUGCUGAUAAUCUAACCCAAAGAGAGGAGGAAUCCUGGAAGUUCCUUGUGCAUGCAGGUGGAUAUAACCCACACUGUAUAUUUUUAUUUUUUCUGGAAAAGAUAGCAUUUGAUUCCACAGUACUUCUAGAUUUUUUGAUUUCAUCAGAAACUUGCUUUCUGGAGUACCUGGUCAGGUACUUAAAGCUUCUUGGGAAAGACUGGCAUCAGUUUGUAGAUGUCUGUAACCAUUUCGAUACCAGGCACAGCACUUUCCACCCAGUUUGUUCUGUCAAGCCACCCCACCGAGAAAAGCAAAGCUGCGUGACUGGGGAGAGUUUGCUAAAUGCUGUUUGUGCAGCACAACCACAGACUCCGACGUCUUUGGCUCCUUCUCACAAGUGCCCGAUGUUUACAGCACAGCAGGGUGAUAAUGAGGCUGCAGAGUGGAACCGGGCUGACUCACUGACCGGCGCUGAUAGCGCGUCCCUGCUGGGUUCUCUUCAAAGACUGGUUAAUUAUGACAGCUCCGAGGACUCGGAGGUGGAAUCAGAUGGAAAAGAGUGUUUGGUAAACACUAAACAAUUGCCCUCAAACAAUGAGGGUGAGGUAAGGAGGAGGGAAACUGGUUGCAGCUGCAGAGAUGAUGACCAGAAUCCACGCACGUCUGAAGUAUCGCCUCCGAAACAGAAGGGAUCUCCUACCUCAUCCUGUUGGACUUGUAUGGCAUCUCCGCAUAACACUGCUCCCCUAAGACUAAUGCUUUACAAAUCAACAAAGUGUUUGGAAGAGCUGCAAGAGGCUAUUUCUAGGUUGCAGAGAAGAAUUCUUUUCCCAUAUAAUCCAUCUCCAUUGUUGAAACUGCUGAGCCACGUUGAGAAGAUGAGUAAAUCCAUGAAUCUACAAUAAUCCAAAGUGUUCUUGUGGGUUUUUUUAACAAGUUCACCAGGAAAUAUUUCCAUGAGAUUAAUGACUUCUAAAGCUCAUGCCUCUUGCACUAGUCAGGACAUUUAACCUCAGGCAGGGUGAACAUGGAUUUGGUUGGCACCCUGAAAUCUGGAAUUGUAUCCAGUGAUAUGAUCCAUGACCUGAGGGUCCUAAGCUCAUUCAUGAUGUAAUUUGAAUAACCGGAAAAGUGAGUGUCUGAGAGCUUGCCUGCGGGAGCAAGUUCAGAGCAGGAUCCAAGGCAGUGUGCACUUAGCAGGAAAGCACCUGAUGCUGCUGUAUUUAACCUGCAGCUUCUAAUGAUCUGCCAAGGGUUAGGCACUGGGAAAGUACUGACAACAGGAGCACUGGAAAAACCUCAGACCUCUUCAGAGCUGUGGGAAGCAGCGUUCCUUUUAGGAUCUGCUCUUGAAGGACACAGAACAAUCAGGUGACCUGUGCGACCACAGUUUUCUAUCUGAGGAUUCCUCCUGAAAUGUUCAGUUUGCCAUUAAUGCAGUUGUUUGGUGGAGUUUACCUUCAACAUCAAUAGAAUAAGUUAAGCUUUAAAGAGGUAAAUAGCACUACAAGUUGCUUACAGGAUAUGCUUUUUAAAAAGAACAUUUUUUUAACUUUUUAACUGACUGUAGAGCUUGAUUGCAGCUACAACUGAAUCCAGGCGAUUCCAUAACUGUGGUUCUUCAAACUGGAUUUUUUCCAAUAUUAUUAUGGCUGCUUUCCAUUCUGCUUUUAAGACUUGUAGUACAGGUUUUAAUCCUGUAAUACAAGAAUAAAAACCAACCUUGGGAACCUCUAUACUUGCAGUACCCUUGAAAAGCUGGGAAUAGGGAGCCUUGGUUGUUCCCUGGUUUAUCACUGGAGGAUAAGCUGUGUUUGUACUUCUUCCAGAGUCAGUCUGGGAUGGUUUCUGAAGUCAGUAUCAGAGAUUUAUCACAGUGUCAGUAGGAGUGAAUAUAUUGUGGUCAUAACAAUGUUACUUCAGUGUGUUUUCCCUUAGAGUUAUCCUAAUGAGUUUGUAAAUUCUUGCUGUAUUUUGUUCAACCCUUCUGGGCUGCCUGGUUCACUCGGAAACCUUGUUAGAAGCCAAUUGUGUGUCAGAAUGGAUGGGAGACAGUCUUUUACUGUCCCUACCUCCACAGCAGACAUGGAACCUGACUUGAUUGAGUAAUACCUCAGGGAUUUAAGCUUUUCCAAGUCAUUAUCUUCUUAACUGUUGUGUAAAUGAGUUUAUUGCUGAUAACUGACAGAGAUACCCUUUAAUGGACCAGCUGACUUGGUGCUGGCUUACAUCAUGAAUGGAAGGAAUAAAAUAUAUUUUAUAGUAAAAAUCUUGCAUGGAGAAUUACAAUAUCCUUAGUUAUUUCUGAUUUCUACUUUUCCUGUACUGCAAAACAUGAGUUUUGCCGGUCAGCAGUGUCCUUAUAGGGAGAUCUGAAAAAAAUGUAAAUUGUUGGAAAAAUAGCACAUGCAACCUCAAACAUGAGCACUGCUGAAUGUUGGCUUCCUUAAAGUUUGUAGGGAAGGUUUGCAGGUUCAUAUUCUGAAAUUGUCAGGAAUUCUAGCUGCUAAUUGGAGUUGUUCAAGUAUCUACCCCAUCUCAUCCUAGUUCUUGAGAGUUAGGAAUUAAUUUUAAAAUUAAUUUUCUAUGGAACUUCAGAUACAUUCUAAAUUCCCUUCGCAUUUGAGGAAGUAAUAGCCACAUAUUAAUACAUGAAUAAUAAUUUGAAGUAUAUUUUGCAAAGGAAUGUGUAUUGAUUAAGUAAAAAAGAUAAAUGUCAAAAUCCUAUGUCCAUAUUUCUUUCCUUGCUGGAAAGGAAAAAGCUUUAUCUUCAAGUGUCACCUUCCAGGGUUUGUCAGAUCUUGGAGUGACUUUGUCACUACGGAUCUUUCAUGCAGGGAUUUAACUGAAACAGAAAUUAUUGCUUUCUGGACAUUUACCUCUAGUACUUGGCUUUCUUGAUAAGAUUUAUAUUCUUCAUGAAAUUCAUGCCUUUCUGCUGACACCAUUACAGCUACUGUGAAAGUCAGGCAAAGACCUAUUAAGCAGCAAAUACCCAACUCAACCAAAUUUUUUAGAAAAUUAUUUAUCUCCCCCAGGGAGAAUCCAGUAUUUGGUCGCCUAAAACAGAGCAUUGAUCCCUCUAAAGGAGAGUUUCUUCACCUCAGCUAAAAUCACUGACCAGUGUGAUGCCUCUAUUUUCUGUAAUUGUCACUUAGAGCUGAUGCUUAAGUGGGAAUUGCUGAGUGUGAAGCAUCAAAUGAAUUGUCUUUGUUUCACCAAGAAAAUACUCAUAUUUUGUUUUCUGUGGGUGGAUAAAGACUGAUGUUCCAAGAGUCUCCCAGCAAUGUAAUCAAGCAAUGUUUGCAGCAUUGUCUUACGUGCAAGUGUUACAAAUUGUUAAGGUUUAUUUUCAUAAUGUUGUAAAACCAUGCUUCCAGCUCCAAGGAUUCUUUUUUUAAAUCCUAUAUUAUUCCUUAAUUGUUGGAAAUGGAUUAAGAAACUCUGAGUUGAUUGGAUUAAUUGUUAAAUCUCUUAAUGUUGCAGCCAGAAGAUUGUGUGAAUUAUUCUCCUGCAUUUUCAGAUAGUGGCAGCACACAGGAGUGUUGUUUGGGUGAAUUGGCAGUGCUGUAGGUGGAGAGGAAAACGUGACUUUUGCCUUUGUAAAUGUACUGGAACAAACUUGGUGGAAGUUCCUUAUAUAGAUAAGCAGUUAUAUUUGACUUUUCUGGUGUUUCUGGUUAGCAGAAAAGGGAUUUUGACAAGUAUAGACAAGUUGAUGCUAAAUCAAGGGAAAGGGAAAAAAAGCCUUCUCACCAAGAUAAUUUAAAGACAAAACAAUUAGGAUUUUGUAUAAAGAAUGUCACAACCAAACUAUAAGCAGAUGAACUCUUCAGCAAAUCACAUCUCUGUGUCCCUGCAUAGGAGAGGCUUCUUAAUUCCUGUCCAGGAGGCUUAUUGAUACAGGGUGUGUUCAGAAUUUAAAUGGAAUCCAGCCAAGGGGUUGUAAGAGGGCAUAAUUGUGGUGUUCCUGGCCUUGGUGGUUGAGUGUGUGAGAGAAAUUGGUUGGAAGGCAGUGCCCAGAUAAUGUUUUUUCCUGGAGCCUCUUUUCCUAAGGCAUAUCCAAAGCCUAUGGCAGAGUGGAGCAGCAGCAGAGUGUGUUCCUUCCCUUCACUGACUUUAUCCUUCUACUGUUGCUUCUGACAUCCUCUCUUGACCCACUUCAUCCAAGUCAUCUUCCUCCUUAAUAUUAAGGCAUAGAUUCUUGAAGUAAUAGAUUUUCUUUCUGGCUAAAAUUCAUGGGAAUCAAGUUCUGAAACAACAAUUGUGAAAGAUUUAAUUGAUUUGAAGAUUUUAACCUGUGUGUUCAAAUUUUCCUCAUUUGCUCCUGCUAUGGCAUUUGUGGAUGAUGAAUAUCUAUUGCCUUAAUGGUUGCUUCAUUCAAAAUCAGGUAUUUAGUCUUUAUUUAUGACAGAUGGCAUUACUAAUUAAUUACUAACGAGCCUCUCCUUAGUGAACCUUUCCCUGUAAGGAUCUGGAUUAUGAAUCAGGUCCUACCUGAGGAAAAAGCUUUUUGAGACUUUUUCAUUCCUUUUAUGUAAGGGAAGGCUGGCAUAUUAGGAGAAGGUGUGAAUUCCUGUGAAAAGAAGGAUCUUAGCUUUUAAACUGCAGAUUGCAAGGUUUUGAAUUAUUAUACUGUGACACAUGACUUGGAAUGAUUCAUUUUCAGGCUUUUGUUGAUCCUUGAGGAGAAGAAAGUACAGGAAGGUCAAGGUUUUUUACUUUAAUCUUGAAGGAAUUAUUGAUGGCAAGGAGAUGGGUUUCACUGGUGGUGAAGAGAGAAUUCAGAGGGCAAAUGAUUAUUACAUCAAACUGAUUCUUACUUUUCCUCCAUGUAUACAUAGGACUGAGAUUUGGUUAACAUUGAGACAAUCAGGUAGCAAAAAUUGUUAAGUACUAACAGACAGUAUAUUUAGAACAUUGAUUUUUGGCUCCCCACAUUACUUUCAUGAUUUUUUUUUUUUUUAAUAUUGAGGGAAACAAAAGAAAUCCUUAGGGGUUUUUGGGAUGAUUUUGGAGUUUUGGUUUUUUUCUUCUCCCUCUGCAGGUGCCACCAACAUCUGUGAUUCUAGAAGUUUAAGAUUUAAUACUGUCUCAAAGAUUUGCCAGGAGAGUUUUCUCUAGUGAGAAAGUUUACUAAUACUAUAAACUCUCUUAUGUAACUGCUUGGAACCUUAGCUGAAAGCUCACACCCACUGUGUGGAUUCACUGUAAUUUAUUACAUGAAUUCAGCUGGCUGGAAAAGAAAGAGGCAAAUUUUGUGACAUUUUUUGAAAGAAGUUAAUUUUUCUUACUUUGUUGUAGUACUUUUUUUUUACUGGCAACUUAUACAUAAUUCCCAGUGAUAAAUAAAAUAAUUGAGUCAAAGGCAUGUCUCCAUUAUCUAGCUAUAUUUAGUUAUAUUAUUAUACUUAAUUAUAUUAAAGUGUCCAAUGAAUGAGUAGAUAAUAUGCUGCAAGUAAGGAAUAGUAAUAUUUAAGCUUUUAAAUUUUUACUUUCUCAGUGGGAUGUGCAGACUAAGGUAUUUUUUGUUUGAUUUUUUUGUUUUUGUUUUUUUUUUUUUCAGCAUUCAAAUUUAAGACUCCUGAAGGAUAAGCACUGUGGAGGUGCAGAGAUAAUUGUAAGGUCAGUGGGCACUUUAAUCAAGGGGGUAUGAUUAACUUGUUAUUUACCAGAGAAUAUCUUUAAUCUUGUAAUAGUAUCCUAUGUAGGUGGUGCCAGCCUAACAAAUGCUGCUCAAAAAGGGUGUAAAAAUACAUGUUCCUUUUUUUUUUUUUUUUUAUUGUAGCAGUCCGAUCUUUGCUCCAGUCAACCAAACUUCUUUUUUUUUUUUUUUUUUUGCAAUCUAUUAUAACAGUGAAGAAAUUGUGGUUUUAAGCAUAAGAAAGAUGUUGCUGUCAAUUACCUCUUCCAUUCCUGGCCCAGCAUUGGUCAAGUGAUGUAUGAAUCAGCUUGCUCUAGGCUUUCCUAAUUGGCAGAGGGUUCCUAAAUCUUCUGCUUGGUUCACAGCAGUGGUUCAUUCUGAUGUGGAGAAGUUUGGAGAUACUUAAAGCAGCAGCCAAGGCAUAAUCUUUUCUGAAAUACUCUUUCAUGUUUAGUGUUUCUCUGGUGCAUCAGGCUAUUGAAUACUGCUCCUAGUUCUAUGGAAGGACCAAAGACUUGCAGUAGCUGCAGGAUAUAAUACCUAAAAUUAAAGAAAUGCUGUGUGAAGAAGCCCACAAUUUUCUCAUGAGGGGAAAUAAAUGAAGAGGUUCCAAAUAUUGCCUGGGUCACAUCUUUCAUGGCAGGCUUACAGAUUCAGAGGGAAGUUUCAAUAUGCUCCAAAGGGGUUGUGGGAAGGAAGGCCUGCAGGAGGGAGCCUCUCCACUGUUAUUCCUAUAGGUGCCUUCUGUGGUUUAAGAAGUCUUGGAGCCCCGAAGUACUGAUGGCUGGGGGCCUUACCAGUUACUGUUCUGUGUUUCUUCCAUUCCUGUGCUCUCCCACAGCCAUCUGCUCCUGGCUCCCUUCUGACAGAGUGCUGGCUGAGAUGGAGCUUUGGCUCAACUCUGACAAGUCUGGUCCCAUUUCCUGGGUUGCUGUUUGCUGACAGCAAGCAGGAAGAAAAGGCUAAUAAAAGGUUCUCUGCUCCUGGCUCAUCUGUGAGGUUCUCUUCUCCACAUUAAUGUGUCCACCAGAAUGCAAAGUAAUGCCAGCACUUCUGAAGGCUGUUAUUAUUUGAAACUGGGGAAAGCUGCUGAGGAAUGACUUUCAAUUCCUUGAUUCCUUAGUCAUGGAAUUAGAAAAGAAGUUAACAAGCAGGUGAAGUAAAAGUGCCAUGUUUCUAUGGUAUCUCUAACCAAACACACACUCAGUGUGUGUUUUUUUCUGCUUUAAGAAUUUCAUAAAUUCCAUUUUAGAUCUUCUGAGGAACUGGAACACUUGUUGUAAAACAUUCAUCAGCUGACUGAGGCAGGAAGUACUGCUGAGAGUGCUCAAUAGGAGUAGAAACCUUUCUCUAACUUUAUUCAAAACCUCACCCUUCAUCUAAAACCUGUCAGAGUGAUGUUUUUGGUGCUCCCUUUUCAGCAUCCUCCCGUGUGUGUGUGGAGCAAUUUACGGUGAGACAAAUUCUCAUCGUGCAACAGAAGCCACAUGACUUCAAACAUUUCUUCAUCUGCUGUGUUGAAAGGAGCAGGGAAGGCAGUGGCACUGCUGCUGCCGAGUUUCACGGGGUGAUGUGGAUGACAUCAGGAUUGCCUUCAGUCAGAAAUCUUGAAGUGCAGCUUUGCUGGGUGGGUCUCAGAAGAAUUUGAAAGGGUUCUGGAGAUAGGGCGUGUUUACCUCGGUCAGAGUAGUGAGUGUGAUGCCUCUUCCCUGCUAAUGUGCUUAUGGUCUCUUUGACUGCAACAUCUGAAAGGUAAGAGUUCAUUUUUCUGCCCUUUUUUCCUGCUCUGGUUCAUUUUGUUGGGUUUUUUCCCCCCGUCCUCACAUCAGCCUGUGUUGAUUUGUCAGCAUGUGCUGGUCUUUAACAUUGUUUUAUAUGGGAAGAGUAGAGUAACUCCUAUGAGUAGUCUUCAGAUUAAGAAAGGAAUGACAUUAAUGAGAUUUUAUAUUUUGCCACUAAGUAUUCCAGCCUAUGAGAACUGCUUUCUAUUGAAAGAAAAAAGACAAUACUGGUUACAGUAGUAGCUUUGCCUUUCCACUUUUUGUACCAUUAUCCUGUUAAGUGCUUGUAACAGCACUUCUUUCUGGACUGGGAGAAAAUUUUCUUAAUAGGAAUAAAUGUUAACUAAUGAUUUAGAUAUUACUAUUGAAUUUUAGUAGUUUGUAAAAGCUACUUCUACAUUUUUUCUAUGUAAAAUGCUAAGGAAAAAAAAAAGUCCUUUACAAAAUUCAGUUUAACAGAGGUUUGGUGUUUUGUUUUUUUUUUAAUAAGACUUACCCUUUGAAGCUCUUGCAGAAGCUUGUGCUAUGAAUAACACACCUAAACAAGCUGCCAGAGGGAGUUAUUUCAUAGUAACGCCGCAACAUUGAGAGGGAAGAACCCAAAUCAUAUUGUUGCAAUCUAUCUAUUUCUCACUACCUUCCUAGCUCAGCCCUUCAGCUGGCUGCCAGGGCUGAUGAAGAGGCUGUGCUUUAGCUGAAAAUUUCCCUUGCAUUUGUUAGGACAUGAAAAGGAUGGCAAAGCGGCUGAAAUAAUGAAAGACCAGUUCCCUUCUAGCUCCUCCUCCAGGUGUUUUUGUGGGUGGGGAAUGUCUGGGCAGGUUGAACUGCAGAGGAGGGAUAACCAGGAGGGAGCUGGGAACCCCAGGGAAUGGGGGUGCACAGCAGGCUUGGCUCAGGGUGCUGUGGAGAUCAACAGAUGGCCAAGUGUGAGCCCCUGGUGCACACCAGGGCUGAAGGUUCUCUAGCAAACAGAGUUCUCCAGAGUGCAAAUGCACCAAUCCUGUCCCUCUCCUGCCUUCCAAGGGCUAAUUUAAAACCUUGAGUCAUUCACUGAAGGUGGAAAAGGCAAGAGCUUCUCCACCUUCAGGUCUCCUCUCUGGUUUUCACUCUUCUGCUGCCUCCACAUGCUCUGUGCUCCCACUGCUUGUCCUGACCUCUGUGUCCCCUGUGCUGCUCAAUUCUUCUCUGCCCUUAACUCUCACCUUAAAUAAGUGACACAGCUCUGGUAAAAUCUCCAUGAUGUAGCUUAAGCAUUUUAAGUUAGACUUCAAGUUUGUAUUUCAAACAAAGCUUUGGUAAACU